rnacentral:misc_RNA from 1 species
UCCCGGUUGGCCCGGGCAGUCUCGCCUGAAAAAUUCAACAGACGACAAGGGUUGCGCUCGUUGCUGGACUUAACCAAACAUCUCACGACACGAGCUGACGACGGCCAUGCAGCACCUGUCACCAGGUUCCCGAAGGCACUCCACUGUUUCCAGCGGAUUCCUGGGAUGUCAAGCCUUGGUAAGGUUCUUCGCGUAUCUUCGAAUUAAACCACAUGUUCCACCGCUUGUGCGGGUCCCCGUCAAUUCCUUUGAGUUUUAAGCUUGCGCUCGUACUCCCCAGGCGGCACACUUAACGCGUUAGCUUCUCAGCGCAGGGGGUCGAUACCCCACACUAAUAGUGUGCAUUGUUUACGGCGUGGACUAC